UUAUUUCUAGCACAUCAAGUUUUUGGCGCCGCUGCCGGGGAUUAAAAUUAAUUUUUCGCUCCUUUAUUUUUAAUCUUUCGGAUUAGCUUGUUUUCUCACUAUUUUUUGUUCUUUAUUUCGAGGAGGAAUAUUCGGGAAUCAUGGAGUAAAGUGGACAAAUUUUGCUCGGAUUUGGAAGCUUGCUUUGGAAAUUGUAGAUAAAUAAAGAAAGAAGAGAAAAUGCAAGAAAAAGAAGAAAAGGGAAAAGAAAAGAAGAAAAAAAGAGAGUUGGCAACUAAGGGACACAUGGAGGGCCACAAUCUUCCCAACACACAAGGCACAUGGAUGGUCAAGAUUGAGCCACCCUACCCCUAAACCCUAAUUCUUUAGUUAUAAAUACCCCCUUCUCUUUACUUGUAA